CUCGGCACCACUAAGAAAAAAAGACUCGUGCUCCCUCGGCCGACGCCGCCAUCGGGAGCCGGCCGGCGAGCAUCCCCAUCACAGUCCCCUCCCCUGCUCCGACGCCACGCGCGGUUGCCGGUGAGACUGGGGAUCUAGCGCCCUCACCUACAGCAGCUCUGCGCCGCUGUUGAUCGGCACCACGCACACGCAGAUCUCAUACCCCAUCUCCACCGCUUAUGGAGAUGGGGUUCGACGCCUUCGCGGCAGCGUGUUGUGCUAUUCCAGUACUCGUAUCCGUUCUCGCCGUCCGCGUCGCCUACGUGCUUUGCCGCAGCGGCCUACCGCCGUCGAGGUCUCGUGCCUCCGGGCUGCGGUGUCUCAUCGUCCUCGGGUCUGGAGGGCAUACUGCAGAGAUGAUGAAUAUUGUAACUGAGCUUCAGAAGGAUCGGUUUACGCCAAGGUACUAUGUGGCUGCACUUACUGAUAACAUGAGCCUUCCAAAGGCACAGGUCUAUGAGAAGUCACUGAUUCAUGUGGAGGGUGAUAGAGAAACGAUCAUCGAGAACGCCGAGUUCAUGCAGAUAUAUCGUAGCCGUGAAGUGGGCCAAUCCUACAUUACCGCCAUUGCAACAACACUGCGUGCUAUUUUGCAUGCUAUGUGGCUAAUAAUAAGAAUCAGACCACAAGUGAUAUUUUGCAAUGGUCCCGGGACAUGCAUCCCUCUAUGUGCUUCAGCUUUUCUUCUGAAGGUGCUUGGUCUGGGAUGGUCCUCCAUUUUCUACAUUGAAAGUAUCGCAAGAGUGAAGAAGCUUUCGUUAAGUGGUUUACUGUUGUACAAGCUACGGAUGGCCGAUCAGUUCUUCGUGCAGUGGCCCCAGCUGCAACAAAAAUACCCUAGAGCACAAUAUGCUGGUCGUUUGAUGUGACGAUUCACCCGUAAAUGAAAUUUGCGACACCAUAAUUUGCAACUCUGAAGAUCUUGAACAUGCUGAGGUGCAGUUGAUACUUGAAUUGACACACCCUACACACCUGUUUUGCCAGAAACUUUUUUACUUGUUGGUAUAGGCUUGCACCUUUCUUAUAUAUUAUAUAUAUAUAUAUAUAUAUAUAUAUAUAUAUAUACUCCUCAAAAUUGUCUUUCAAGACUUGGCUAGGGAAUAGAAUGCCCCCUCACAGAUAUACCAUGUAAGGCUGUGACUUUGCAGAGUCAAGUGUAAACCUCAUCCUGUAAGUUCCAGCCACAUUCUAUUAGUAAGUGUUGUGUCGUUUGUUACUUUUAUCAUGCCUCGUUGCUAGCCUAGCUUCAUGAUGACCUGGUCUCAAAUGUUACCAGAGGGAAAACUGCUGUUUUUCUUUUCCUUUUUUUGAUAACAGGGGAAGAAGAAUUACUGUAAUCUGAAGGAUAAUACUCCUAUUUGAUUAUCAGGAUUUCUAAAAUCAUAUUAUCGGGAAAGAAAAUGAAAUUUCCCAGGAAUACAUCGAUGGCAUACAAAAGCCCAAGUCUGCAGCGGCGAGCCACACACACGAGGCAAAAAGCCCAGGCCUGCAACGGCGACAAAGUCGAUCAUCCGCAUCGGGGACGCUCCGCGACACGAAAGGACACCGAGAUCCACGUCACCGCCUGCCCCUCUUUAUCCACCACGGAUUUUCUUAAAAAUAAACAGCGGAGAAUAAAAAAGAGGAGAGGAGAGGGGGAGAAGAACAACAACACCUCCGAUAGUCCGAUCUCACACCCACCCCCGGCCUCGCGAUCAUCCCCUCCCCCCCUUGGACAGGCCUCCCGAAUCCGGACCCCCCCAACGCGCGCAGCGGGACGAGGACCGACGGGCGGGGCACAGAGAGGCCGGGGGUGAUGAGUUGUUACGCUGCAUGGACGGAGCAAUCGAGGAGCCUCUCCACAAGGACUAUUACAAAGUUCUGGAGGUCGAUUACGAUGCAUCUGACGACAACAUCAAACUGAAUUAUAGAAGAUUAGCGUUGAAGUGGCACCCCGACAAGCAUAAGGGCGAGGAUGAUGUCACAGCUAAAUUUCAGGAGAUCAACGAGGCUUACAAAAUUUUAAGUGAUCCAGUUACACGGCUUGAGUACGACUUUUCUGGCUGUUACGAGGUCAAUCAAUAUACUGCACGUGAGUACCUUUCAAGAUUUAAGGGAAUGAUACUUACCUGCAAUGGCCUUGGCAUAGAGCAUUCUUCAAAAUGGGCGCGACAUUUGAGGGAAUGGGAGCCCCAUUGAUCAAUAGGUACAGCAUGUUUAUUCCCGAACUUGUUCAGUAGCGUCUCUGAUGGCGAUUUUUGGCAUGUAUUUUGUUCUUCUGUAACUCCGCAAUGGAACCUGUUAUGUGCCCUCGCACUUGUGCUAGAAAGAGAUACAUGUUUGCUAUUUCCAUCGGUCAUCUGGUUGUUUACUCUUUGACUUGUCACAAGCAUGGUAGUAAUAGUUCCUUUUCAGCAUAGACCACAGCUAAGAAUAAAGAGAAAUAUGUUUCUUUCAACGAAAGAGAAUAACAUAUCGUGUAUUCAAGUAUGUGUACCUGAUAGAACAACAGAAAAGGAAGUUUUUGGGUGAUUGUGCCGUCAGAAAAUCUGUGAUAAGCUAAAUGCUGAUAAAUGAGCGUUGAUCAUCAAGCUAUCCAUGAUGGUCGCCCACCAGGAAGGCAUAGAGACACCUAGAUGACACAUACGUAAGAGCAAGUACAACAGGAAUUGUACCUAGGAAGACUGAUCAUCACUCCACAGUAUGAA
rnacentral:rRNA from 1 species